rnacentral:rRNA from 1 species
UCGGGAAUUUUGGGCAAUGGGCGAAAGCCUGACCCAGCAACGCCGCGUGAAGGAUGAAGUAUUUCGGUAUGUAAACUUCGAAAGAAUGGGAAGAAUAAAUGACGGUACCAUUUAUAAGGUCCGGCUAACUACGUGCCAGCAGCCGCGGUAAUACGUAGGGACCAAGCGUUGUUCGGAUUUACUGGGCGUAAAGGGCGCGUAGGCGGCUUUGUAAGUCACUUGUGAAAUCUCCGGGCUUAACUCGGAACGGCCAAGUGAUACUGCAAAGCUAGAGUGCAGAAGGGGCAAUCGGAAUUCUUGGUGUAGCGGUGAAAUGCGUAGAUAUCAAGAGGAACACCUGAGGUGAAGACGGGUUGCUGGGCUGACACUGACGCUGAGGCGCGAAAGCCAGGGGAGCAAACG